CAUGCAGCGGUGGGGUCCCUCAGCCUGGCCUGCACCCUAUUACAGUCCGGGACCCUUUGGGGGAUUAUAUUGGAUCCCUUUCAACCCGAUCCCCGCAGGCCAGGCUGAGGGACCCCACCAGUGCACA
rnacentral:pre_miRNA from 1 species